rnacentral:rRNA from 1 species
UAUGUGAUCGUCUCUCGCAUAUCAAUAAGCGGAGGAAAAGAAACUAACAAGGAUUCCCUUAGUAACGGCGAGCGAACCGGGAUAAGCCCACCAUGAGAAUCGGUCGCCCUCGGCGUUCGAAUUGUAGUCUGGAGAAGCGUCCUCAGCGGCGGACCGGGCCCAAGUCCCCUGGAAAGGGGCGCCGGAGAGGGUGAGAGCCCCGUUGUGCUCGGACCCUGUCGCACCACGAGGCGCUGUCGGCGAGUCGGGUUGUUUGGGAAUGCAGCCCCAAUCGGGCGGUAAAUUCCGUCCAAGGCUAAAUAUUGGCGAGAGACCGAUAGCGAACAAGUAUCGUGAGGGAAAGAUGAAAAGAACUUUGAAAAGAGAGUUAAACAGUACGUGAAAUUGUCAAAAGGGAAGCGUUUGACACCAGUGUUGUUUUUCUGAAAAUCAAUUAAAGAACUGUUUAUGCUAAGCUGUUUAGACUUUAUCAGCUAACUGUUUAGUUUUGAGCUUUUCUUUAAUGCACUUUUCAGUUAACAAGUCAACAUCAAUUUCUUUUGCUGUAAAAAAGCUUGAGGAAGGUGGCUAGAGAUUCGUCUUAAGUGUUUAUAGCCUCUUGCCUAUGCAGUCGGAGAGAUUGAGGUCUGCAGCGUAGAUCCUUCGGGGCUAAAUGCAUUUGUGCUAAGUUAUAGCAUUUUAUAGACAACUUGUUGACUAUGAUUUGUCUUGUAGCUUACUCGCUUAUGUUAUUUUACCUACGCUUAGGAUGUUGAGUCGUAGAGCACGCAG